ensembl:lncRNA
GCAGAGAACUUCAAGAGACAAGUAUAAAAAAGGAUUUUCAUCAGUCUUUUGUUUUUUACUCAAGAUAGCUUUAAGUAAUAACCAGCCAUUACCCACCUUGGAUUUUCUGUCCUCUACUGGUGAGGUCUCUUUCUUUGAACUAUUUCAAAUGUCCCAGCAGAGCUGGGGAGGCCCCCUCCCGACAUCACCACUGACCUAAGAAGGACAGAUAGCGCACCCAUGGUCAAGCUCAGGGGCCACAAUUGGUCACUGACUCACUUGAAGGGAACCGCCUCUCCCUCUUUUACCCAUGAUGCUGAAAAGUUGAUUCAGGCUAAGUUUCUAAGCAAGACUUAUGAAAAGUGCCAAUGACAAAAAUACAACAAAAUAAAAACUAUAAAGUUAUAUCAGGACAAAAUAUACCAAGGACAAGGGGAGGCCACAUCUCAGAUAAGAUGAAGUAGUGAAGACAGAUGAGGAAGAACUAUUUUACUCCUAUUCAGGAUUGAGGCUAGCAGUCACACCUCCAGAGGGUACAUUCUCCUGGAGUAACAUGUGAGUAACACUCCAUGGGAUUAGGCAAUAAGAUAGCCCUACCCAGGGUGUCUUUUUCUUCCAAGGAGCAUGACUAUCAAGGUAGGGCAUAAUUGAAGGUGAAUAGAAGUCCUAGGUGGAGAAGAGAUGAUCAGAGGGACCCUGGUUACUUUUUAUGAAAGUUUAUGGUAAUACUAGGCAAUAGUAAUAGUCAACAUUUAUGAAGCAGAAGGUGUUGGGAACUCUACUAAACACUUUGCAUAUAUUAUCCAAUAAUGCUGUUGUUGCCCAGCUGUAUUAGUCUGUUCUUGAAUUGCUAAAAUAAAUACCUGGACUAAUUUCUGAAGAAACUAUAUUUAAUUGGCUCAUGGUUCUCCAGGCUGUACAGGAAGCAUGGUGGCAUCAGCUUCUGGGAAGGCCUCAGGGAACUUAAAAUCAUGGCACAAGUGCUACACACUUUUAAAACAACCAGAUCUUGUGAUAACUCACUCACUUACUAUCACGUGAACAGCACAGAGGGGAUAGUGCUAAACCACUCAUCAGAACCUGCCCUAUGAUCCAGUCACCUCCCACUGGGCCCCACCUCCAAAAAGGGGAUUGGGGCUUACAUACAAUUCGACAUGAGAUUUGGAUGCGGACACAGAUCCAAACCGUAUCACCAACCAACAGCCACUCUUCCUCUUCUUUUUCUGCAAACCGUCAUUUUGUUUAGGUGGCAGUACGCCCUGCCCGAGACAUCAUGAAUGUCUAAGUCAAUUAUGUAAUGCUAUUCACCUAAGCCAGGACCAGGUCUAGGAAUGGGUGUGUAGCUAUAUCUGAUGAAUAAGAAAGAAAGCAAAGUCAAGUACUUUCCAAGAAUAGCGAAUAUUUUCCUCCCUGAGAAGAGAGAGGUCACAGAAAAGUCUGUUUUGCUUGUUUGUUUUUACCUAUGUCUUUUAUCCUUGCCUUCCAAGUGUUGUGUGAAGAUAUGAUGGCCUAGGAAAUCCCCGGGAUACCAACCUAGAACCCCAGAACCCUAGUGGCACUGGGUUGCUGGGGUGGUGCUGGCACUGCCUGCCUCAAAACUUCUUGUGAAGUGAAAUAUUAAAUGUCUUUAUUAUUUAUGCCACUAUUAAUUUGGUAUUCUCUUACUUGCACCUACAAGUUUUCCUACUGAUAAAAUAGUAUUGGUUCUGUUUUAUAAUUGAGAAAACCAGGACUUAAAAAAAUGAAAUCCCUUCCCCUCUGUCACACAGUUCAUAAGUGGGAAGGCCUAAUAAGCUUUUGCUGCUACGAUUCUGCCUGGAUCCAAGUCUAUACAGUCCAGGGGAAUUACAUUCCAGGGGCAAUAGGUUGGUUCAAUCAAGUAAGAAGAGCUCUUGACAUUGGGCAGCCGAGUAGGGAGUUCUCAGUCAUAGGAGAAGCUCAAGCAAAGAUAAUACAGCCAUUCAUGAAGGUCACUGGAAGAAGAGCCAGGCUCUAAGUAGACAGGAGUCAAGAAGACGGACCGCGUGCGAGAUGCAAAUGUAUCAUAAAUGUGCUCUGGAAUAGAACCGCAUGGGCACAAAGAAUAGGCAAAAAAGAAACUGCAGUCUUGGCUAACCAGACUUCCAGUUUGGUGAUGAGACAGUGCUUCAGACAUCCAUGCUCCAGGAAUGGGUUUGACAGUGCUGCUCCUGGACCGCUGAGGGUGAUGGCAUGGUGAAGGGUAAGGAUCAGGCCUGGAUCUGCAUGAAAGUCCCAGCUCUGGCCAGGUGCGGUGGCUCAUGCCUAUAAUUUCAGCACUUUGGGAGACCGAGGCAGGUGGAUCACUUGAGGUCAGGAGUUCAAGACCAGCUUGAGCAACAUGGCAAAACCCUAUCUCUACUAAAACUGCAAAAAGUAGCUGGGUGUGGUGCUGCACACCUGUAAUCCCACCUGCUUGGGAGGCUGAGGCACAAGAAUCGCUUGAACCUGGGAGGCAGAGGUUGCAGUGAGCCAAGAUUGCACCACUGCACUCCAACCUGGGUGACAGAGUGAGACUCCAUCUCAAAAAUAAAUAAAUACAUAAAAUUAAAAAUAAAAAUAAAUAAAUAAAGAGAAAGUCCCAGCUUUGCUAUUUCGUACCUGCCAACCUCAAAUUCCCUCUUUCUCAAAUGGGAAUAAUGGCCUCAGUGUACUUCCUGGGGCUGCUGUGAAGAGUAAAUGAGAUGAUCGUACACUUCUACAAACGUUUAUGGAAGGCCUACUACAUGCCUAGCCUUCUGUCAAGUCCUGAUGUCUGUGUAAGCCAAAAGAAUUUCACAAAUUUAAAAUAUUAAGUAUUAUAAUUUAUUUUUAAAAAUUGUCUAAGUCCUCUCUUCCUCCUACCUCACCGAGGAACUCCAUCCAUCUAUUUUGAAAUAAAUUGAGCUCUCACCCAGGAAAAUAGAAGAAAUGGCUCCAACAGAGAGAGUUUCCAGCAAGACAAAUCCCCAAUGGCUUCUCCCUGCCACCGCUCAAUAAUGGUGUUUGCUAUAAAUCAGAGAGCUUCUUUAUCAAGUGCCUUGGAAGCGCUUGGGACUGAUUUAGCCCUCGAGUGAGAUUAAUCACAAAUUGCUGCUUUAGAAAGAGUGAUGGGUGUGAAUUAGAAGGUUCAGUGGAGAUCAUUCUGAUUCACCCCGAUUGCUAUAGAUAACUGGAGUUUACAGAACUAAGACCCUAAGUUUUUUAACAUUUAUCAGUUUGAGAAAAA